ACUCAAAGGAAUUGACGGGGGCCCGCACAAGCGGCGGAGCAUGCGGAUUAAUUCGAUGCAACGCGAAGAACCUUACCUGGGCUUGACAUGCACGGUGCACUGCCAGAGAUGGCAGGUCCUUUACGGGGUCGUGCACAGGUGGUGCAUGGUUGUCGUCAGCUCGUGUCGUGAGAUGUUGGGUUAAGUCCCGCAACGAGCGCAACCCUCGUUCCAUGUUGCCAGCACGUGAUGGUGGGGACUCAUGGGAGACUGCCGGGGUCAACUCGGAGGAAGGUGGGGAUGACGUCAAAUCAUCAUGCCCCUUAUGUCCAGGGCUUCACGCAUGCUACAAUGGCCGGUACAAAGGGUGGCGAUGCCGUGAGGUGGAGCGAAUCCCAAAAAGCCGGUCUCAGUUCGGAUCGGGGUCUGCAACUCGACCCCGUGAAGUCGGAGUCGCUAGUAAUCGCAGAUCAGCAACGCUGCGGUGAAUACGUUCCCGGGCCUUGCACACACCGCCCGU
rnacentral:rRNA from 1 species